rnacentral:misc_RNA from 1 species
GAUGAAGAACGUAGCGAAAUGCGAUAAGUAAUGUGAAUUGCAGAAUUCAGUGAAUCAUCGAGUCUUUGAACGCACAUUGUGCCCCCUGGUAUUCCGGGGGGCAUGCCUGUCCGAGCGUCAUUGCUGCCCUCAAGCACGGCUUGUGUGUUGGGCCCCGCCCCCCGGCUCCCGGGGGGCGGGCCCGAAAGGCAGCGGCGGCACCGCGUCCGGUCCUCGAGCGUAUGGGGCUUCGUCACCCACUCCGUAGGCCCGGCCGGCGCCCGCCGGCGACCCCCCUCAAUCUUUUCAGGUUGACCUCGGAUCAGGUAGGGAUACCCGCUGAACUUAAGCAUAUCAAUAAGCGGAGGA